rnacentral:rRNA from 1 species
UACGUAGGUGGCAAGCGUUGUUCGGAAUUACUGGGCGUAAAGGGCUCGUAGGCGGCCAACUAAGUCAGACGUGAAAUCCCUCGGCUUAACCGGGGAACUGCAUCUGAUACUGGAUGGCUUGAGAUUGGGAGAGGGAUGCGGAAUUCCAGGUGUAGCGGUGAAAUGCGUAGAUAUCUGGAGGAACACCGGUGGCGAAGGCGGCAUCCUGGACCAACACUGACGCUGAGGAGCGAAAGCCAGGGGAGCAAACGGG